AUGGGCAAAGGAGAUCCUAAGAAGCUGAGAGGCAAAAUGUCCUUAUAUGCAUUCUUUGUGCAAAUUUGCCGGGAGGAGCACAAGAAGAAGCACCCGGAUGCUUCUGUCAACUUCUCAGAGUUCUCCAAGAAGUGCUCAGAGAGGUGGAAGACCAUGUCUGCUAAAGAAAAGGGGGAAUUUGAAGAUUUGAAGAAGGCUGCCAAGCUGAAG
rnacentral:lncRNA from 1 species